rnacentral:lncRNA from 1 species
GUAGUUUAAUUUUUUGGUAUACAUUAUGAUUUAUGAUUUGCAUAUUUGAUUUAUAAAUUAAAAUUUGUUUUGGCGGCCCACCCCAAUACUUUAGUCUAGCUCGGCCACUAGUUUCAACCUUGUACACCGUAGUACAAGUUAGCAACAAAUUGCAGAUGUUUGGUCUGGUGGAGUCUCACUUUUUGUGUGAUGUAGUUAGGGGUUUUCCUUUUAAAGACUCAAAGGAUUUGAGG